rnacentral:rRNA from 1 species
UAGGGAAUCUUCCGCAAUGGGCGAAAGCCUGACGGAGCAACGCCGCGUGAGUGAUGAAGGUCUUCGGAUCGUAAAACUCUGUUAUUAGGGAAGAACAAAUGUGUAAGUAACUAUGCACGUCUUGACGGUACCUAAUCAGAAAGCCACGGCUAACUACGUGCCAGCAGCCGCGGUAAUACGUAGGUGGCAAGCGUUAUCCGGAAUUAUUGGGCGUAAAGCGCGCGUAGGCGGUUUUUUAAGUCUGAUGUGAAAGCCCACGGCUCAACCGUGGAGGGUCAUUAGAAAAUGGAAAACUUGAGUGCAGAAGAGGAAAGUGGAAUUCCAUGUGUAGGGGUGAAAUGCGCAGAGAUAUGGAGGAACACCAGUGGCGAAGGAGACUUUCUGGUCUGUAACUGACGCUGAUGUGCGAAAGCGUGGGGAUCAAACAGG